CAAGGUAGAAGGAAAAAGACACCCGGUC
rnacentral:sRNA from 1 species